CUCGCUUGCAAGCCGGUCCCUCACGCCUCCUCCUGCUCCGCUGCCUGCCUCUCCUCCUCGGUCUCCUCCUCUAGCUUCCCCCGUAGUCAUCCCGCCGCCGCCGCCGCCUCCUCCUCCUGCUGCCGCAGCGAGAGGGACCCUCCCCCUCCGCGUCCAGCCCAGACAAGCCUCGCCACGCCCCUCCGCCUUGCCGAGCUGCCUCCCGCCUGGAUCAAAACACGCGCGGCUCUGCUUGGAGACGCUCACGGCGGGCGGGCGGGCGGGGAGGCAGCGCGUCCGGAACUGUUGUCCCCGCCGCUGCUGCCACUGCUGCCGCCGCCGUGCACGGCCCCGAUUCUCCACCGGAAGCUGCCUCGGGGGUGUCACGUCUCCGUCCUACCGGAGGGUGGUAGGCUGUUUGUGCAAAAGGAAGGAGGCCGCGGAGGAUGCGAGCGAUGGGGUCGCCCCCCACCCGCUCUGCAAAGAUACAAAGUCAGAAGUAUAAAGUACAUGAAGAAAAAAGAAAGAAGCAAAAAGAAAAAUAGAAAAAAAUCCAACUUUCAGAAACAUUUUUACAUUACCAACCGGACUUCCCCACGUCUCCCUCACCCUGCGUUCCUUUCAAUAAACAUAUCAGCAAAUUAUUACCUUGUUUCAUACCUUACUUGUAUCUUUCAAAUAUUAUUCUUCUAAAUUUAAAGUACCUUUUGUCAAUAACUUGUACCUUAAAAUAAACAUAAUAUAACUUUAAAUUUCAACCUUUUCUUACGUUUUUAUCUUAAUUUCCUGCUCACCAAAUCUAAUUGCUGAAGCUAAGUAAUGCCAAUUUUUAAAACAGGGAUCUAGGAGAGAUCCUGGAAAUUAUAGGCUGGUUAGUUUAAUGUCUGUCCCCGGAAACCUUCUGGAAAGCAUUGUUAAAGAUAAAAUAACCAAGCACACAGAAGAACAAGACUACUGAAGUCGAGUCAGUAUGGCUUCUUCAAGGGAAAGGCCUGUCUCACAAACCUAUUGGAGAGCCAGUGGUGUAGUGGUUAAUCUGUAGUCUCGUAAUCUGGGGAACCGGGUUUGCACCUCCGCUCUUCCACAUGCAGCUGCUGGGUGACCUUGGGCCAGUCACACUUCUUUGAAGCCUCUUAGCCCCACGCACCUCACAGAGUGUUUGUUGUGGGGGAGGAAGGGAAAGGAGAAUGUUAGCCGCUUUGAGACUCCUUAAAAGGAGUGAAAGACGGGAUAUCAAAUCCAAACUCUUCUUCUUCUAUUGGAAUUCUUUCAGCGUCUCAACAAAUAGGUAUAUGUCAGGCAUGUACAACUUCCAAGAGACUGCGAUCUACUCCCACUAAAUAAAAACUGGCAGUGAUCUACCCACUGUAU
rnacentral:lncRNA from 1 species